rnacentral:rRNA from 1 species
UUUAUGGAGAGUUUGAUCCUGGCUCAGGAUGAACGCUGGCGGCGUGCCUAAUACAUGCAAGUCGAGCGAACGGACGAGAAGCUUGCUUCUCUGAUGUUAGCGGCGGACGGGUGAGUAACACGUGGAUAACCUACCUAUAAGACUGGGAUAACUUCGGGAAACCGGAGCUAAUACCGGAUAAUAUUUUGAACCGCAUGAUUCAAAAGUGAAAGACGGUCUUGCUGUCACUUAUAGAUGGAU